rnacentral:rRNA from 1 species
AUUGAACGCUGGCGGCAUGCCUUACACAUGCAAGUCGAACGGCAGCACGGGAGCAAUCCUGGUGGCGAGUGGCGAACGGGUGAGUAAUAUAUCGGAACGUGCCCAGUCGUGGGGGAUAACGUAGCGAAAGCUACGCUAAUACCGCAUACGAUCUAUGGAUGAAAGCGGGGGAUCGCAAGACCUCGCGCGAUUGGAGCGGCCGAUAUCAGAUUAGGUAGUUGGUGAGGUAAAGGCUCACCAAGCCGACGAUCUGUAGCUGGUCUGAGAGGACGACCAGCCACACUGGGACUGAGACACGGCCCAGACUCCUACGGGAGGCAGCAGUGGGGAAUUUUGGACAAUGGGCGCAAGCCUGAUCCAGCAAUGCCGCGUGCAGGAUGAAGGCCUUCGGGUUGUAAACUGCUUUUGUACGGAACGAAACGGUGAGCUCUAAUACAGUUUGCUAAUGACGGUACCGUAAGAAUAAGCACCGGCUAACUACGUGCCAGCAGCCGCCGCCGUAA